rnacentral:rRNA from 1 species
GUGUCAGCCGCCGCGGUAAUACGGAGGGGGCAAGCGUUACUCGGAAUUAUUGGGCGUAAAGGGCGCGUAGGCGGUCCCGCACGUCGGAGGUGAAAUCCCCGGGCUCAACCCGGGAGCUGCCUCCGAUACGGCGGGGCUUGAGUCCGGGAGAGGGGAGCAGAAUUCCCAGUGUAGCGGUGAAAUGCGUAGAUAUUGGGAGGAAUACCGGUGGCGAAGGCGGCUCCCUGGACCGGUACUGACGCUGAGGCGCGAAAGCGUGGGUAGCAAACAGGAUUAGAAACCCCAGUAGUCC